rnacentral:rRNA from 1 species
CUUCGGGAGAAGGCACGCUGACACGUAGGUGAAGUGAUUUACUCAUGGAGCUGAAGUCAGUCGAAGAUACCAGCUGGCUGCAACUGUUUAUUAAAAACACAGCACUGUGCAAACACGAAAGUGGACGUAUACGGUGUGACGCCUGCCCGGUGCCGGAAGGUUAAUUGAUGGGGUCAGCGCAAGCGAAGCUCCUGAUCGAAGCCCCGGUAAACGGCGGCCGUAACUAUAACGGUCCUAAGGUAGCGAAAUUCCUUGUCGGGUAAGUUCCGACCUGCACGAAUGGCGUAAUGAUGGCCAGGCUGUCUCCACCCGAGACUCAGUGAAAUUGAACUCGCUGUGAAGAUGCAGUGUACCCGCGGCAAGACGGAAAGACCCCGUGAACCUUUACUAUAGCUUGACACUGAACAUUGAGCCUUGAUGUGUAGGAUAGGUGGGAGGCUUUGAAGCGUGGACGCCAGUCUGCGUGGAGCCGACCUUGAAAUACCACCCUUUAAUGUUUGAUGUUCUAACGUGGACCCGUGAUCCGGGUUGCGGACAGUGUCUGGUGGGUAGUUUGACUGGGGCGGUCUCCUCCUAAAGAGUAACGGAGGAGCACGAAGGUUGGCUAAUCCUGGUCGGACAUCAGGAGGUUAGUGCAAUGGCAUAAGCCAGCUUGACUGCGAGCGUGACGGCGCGAGCAGGUGCGAAAGCAGGUCAUAGUGAUCCGGUGGUUCUGAAUGGAAGGGCCAUCGCUCAACGGAUAAAAGGUACUCCGGGGAUAACAGGCUGAUACCGCCCAAGAGUUCAUAUCGACGGCGGUGUUUGGCACCUCGAUGUCGGCUCAUCACAUCCUGGGGCUGAAGUAGGUCCCAAGGGUAUGGCUGUUCGCCAUUUAAAGUGGUACGCGAGCUGGGUUUAGAACGUCGUGAGACAGUUCGGUCCCUAUCUGCCGUGGGCGCUGGAGAACUGAGGGGGGCUGCUCCUAGUACGAGAGGACCGGAGUGGACGCAUCACUGGUGUUCGGGUUGUCAUGCCAAUGGCACUGCCCGGUAGCUAAAUGCGGAAGAGAUAAGUGCUGAAAGCAUCUAAGCACGAAACUUGCCCCGAGAUGAGUUCUCCCUGAGACUUAAAGUCUCCUGAAGGAACGUUGAAGACGACGACGUUGAUAGGCCGGGUGUGUAAGCGCAGCGAUGCGUUGAGCUAACCGGUACUAAUGAACCGUGAGGCUUAACCUUACAACGCCGAAG